AAUAGAUACCCUGGUAGUCCACGCCGUAAACGAUGGAUGCUAGCUGUUAGGAGUAUCGACCCUCCUAGUAGCGUAGCUAACGCGUUAAGCAUCCCGCCUGUGGAGUACGGUCGCAAGACUAAAACAUAAAGGAAUUGACGGGGACCCGCACAAGCGGUGGAGCGUGUUGUUUAAUUCGAUGGUAAGCGAAGAACCUUACCCAGGUUUGACAUCCCACUAAGGACUCCGAAAGGAGACUGUGUCUUCGGACCGUGGUGACAGGUGUUGCAUGGCCGUCGUCAGCUCGUGUCGUGAGAUGUUUGGUUAAGUCCAUCAACGAGCGCAACCCUUAUAGUUAGUUGUAUUUCUCUAGCUAGACUGCCCUGGCAACAGGGAGGAAGGAGGGGAUGAUGUCAGGUCAGUAUUACCCUUACACCUGGGGCUACAAACACGCUACAAUGGCCGGUACAAAGGGCAGCCAACCCGCGAGGGGGAGCAAAUCCCAUCAAAGCCGGUCUCAGUUCGGAUUGCAGGCUGAAACUCGCCUGCAUGAAG
rnacentral:rRNA from 1 species